AGUGAACGCUGGCGGCAGGCCUAAUACAUGCAAGUCGAACGGCAGCACAGCAGAGCUUGCUCUGUGGGUGGCGAGUGGCGGACGGGUGAGGAAUACGUGGGAAUCUGCCCAGUCGUGGGGGAUAACGUAGGGAAACUUACGCUAAUACCGCAUGCGCCCUUCGGGGGAAAGCCGGGGGACCUUCGGGCCUGGCGCGAUUGGAUGAGCCCACGUCGGAUUAGCUAGUUGGCGGGGUAAAGGCCCACCAAGGCGACGAUCCGUAGCUGGUCUGAGAGGAUGAUCAGCCACACUGGAACUGAGACACGGUCCAGACUCCUACGGGAGGCAGCAGUAGGGAAUAUUGGACAAUGGGCGCAAGCCUGAUCCAGCCAUGCCGCGUGAGUGAAGAAGGCCCUCGGGUUGUAAAGCUCUUUGUCCGGAAAGAAAAGCGCCGGGUUAAUACCCUGGUGUCCUGACGGUGCCGGAAGAAUAAGCACCGGCUAACUUCGUGCCAGCAGCCGCGGUAAU
rnacentral:rRNA from 1 species